UACGUAGGGGGCAAGCGUUGUCCGGAAUUAUUGGGCGUAAAGGGUGCGUAGGCGGCGUGGUAAGUCGGAUGUGAAAUCUCGGAGCUUAACUCCGAAACUGCAUUCGAUACUGCCGUGCUUGAGGACUGGAGAGGAGACUGGAAUUUACGGUGUAGCGGUGAAAUGCGUAGAUAUCGUAAGGAAGACCAGUGGCGAAGGCGGGUCUCUGGACAGUUCCUGACGCUGAGGCACGAAGGUCAGGGGAGCAAACGGG
rnacentral:rRNA from 1 species